AUUCAAAUGUCUUUUUGUGGUUCCAAUGGCCACUUUCUUAAUCAAAUUUUCCAUAACCUUUAGCUAUUAGGUUUGAGUUAUCCUUGUGGUAGAUGUAAUACUCAACCAUAUCAUCCUUAGUGAUGGACAAUGAGUCUUCCAUGCUUAUAUAGGGUUAACCCCUCACUAGCAUGUUGAAGUUAUCCUCACAUGGUGGAUUUGUGGUUUGGUUGAGUUUUUCUCCCUUUGAUAACAAAAGACCUUAAGGCUUUUGGACCAAUCAAUUCACCAACUCAUUUUUGAGAUUUUUACCUCCCGAACUACGAGGUUUGAUCCUAAUCUUUUUUAAGAUGGUACGUAGGCAAUGGAUUCAUCCAUCCAAACACAAAAUGUAAAUAAACUUGUACAUUCUCCUCUCAUCUCUUCAAUCAUGUUUGCACAAAUAAAUUUUCACAAAACAACAACCUUGCAACAAGUAUGAAAAGGGCUCCCUAGGAGUACCUAGGAUGUUUUUGGUGCCAUAACAGCUUCCAUAGCAUAACCAACCCCCUUACCCAGAUCUCUGUUCUCUUUUACUAGUUUUUGUUAAAACUUUUAGGUUUUUGUUCGCUUUCUAACCAUUCCUUUGGAUAAAUAGAAGUGUGGUGGCGACUCGACAUGUAUGGUUUACCUUGGAUUUAGUCAAUAUCUCUAAUGGUAACGAAUACCCCGCUACAGAUCCCUUUAUGACUAAAAUGUGACAUAGAAUUUAACCAUUUCCUUACCAUUUUAGGACUUAUACAUAGGUUCAUUAAUCAAUAUUUUGACCAAUAUCAUGCAUGAUCCCUUAGGGUGAUUUCUAACAAUUACUAACUUUGAUUAGAAUUACCUAGUUCCCUAAAAACAAAACAAAACCCAUGAUGAAAUUGAUCAAAAGAAAUUUUGAUUGAUUAAAUCCUUUGAACUUGUAUAAUCCCACAGUCUAAAUUGAGUGACCAAAAGACCCUUGGUCACUUAAUAAGAGUUUUCUUCCAAGAUGUUGAGCUCAAGGCCUCAAGACAAGAUCUUCAAUUAAGGCAUCCUCAAUUAUACCAAGCAACGGAUUAUUCAAGCAUAUCAAAGGUGGCAUCUUCAACAACUUGUUAAAUCAAAGUUAGAAGUGUGUGACACGAGCCUUAUGCCAUAGAGAAGGAGUGGGACUGGAGUAUUCCUACCCCCAUUCUGAGUAUCUUUAGGUAUGGGACGUAUGACCCAUCGCUCAUCGUAUUCACCUCUAUUCAUAGACUUUAGCACAAUCCUAACCAUACGAUUGACAAGUCUCUCCCUUCACAAAGCAAAAACAACAGGAAAGGACAACAUCAACCACUUAUCAAUCAUGAAUCAAGUUGUACGAUACGAGCCUUAAGUAAUGAAGAAGGAGUGGGACUGGAGUAUUCCUACCCCCAUUCUAAGUAUCUUUGGGUAUGGGACGUAUGACCCAGCGCUCAUUGUAUUCACCUCCAUUUAUAGACUUUAGUGCAAUUCGAAUCAAACGAUUGAUAAGGUUUUCAUCAUCAAUACAAGACACAACUACAAGAUUCUUCUCUCUCCACUUGAAAGUUGAGACGAGAGUUGCAUGCCACGAGCCUUAAGUGGUAAAGAAGGAAUGAGAAUGGAGCUUUCCUACACUCAUUCUAGAUAUCUUUGGGUGCGAGACGUUUGGCUCAUUGCUUAUCGUAUCCACAUUUACCCAUAGAUUUUAGUGUGACUCUCAUCCAGUAACUAUCAAGUAUCUCCAUUCCAUUCAAAUCAAUCAUCCCUUUCUUCUUGCCUCUAUUCAAUUUGUUUUCAGCCCUAGUGGGUUGAACUAUGAAAACUCUGAUUUCCUUAUUGCACUAUAAGGAUACGUAGGCAAGAGAACCCAGUUUCUUCGUGAGCUACCCUAUUUAUCAAUCAAUCAUUCUCCAUUCAUUCUAUCAAUACCAUCUCUUUGAGAUUAAUCAUACUUCUCCUUGGACUCCUUGUCUAUCCUUUUAGGACGAUAACGACAGUCCGCCUCCUCAAUCUAGAGUUGUUUGGCCCGUAACCCAAACAUUUAAUUCAAUAUUUCUUUUUGGCUUUACCUUAUAGUGGCAGCCUGCUAGUCCACAUAUUGGUAAAUGCCUACCCUGCUCUUCGAUUAAGAGUCUAUCCUUCCCUUGGAUCUAAUCUACUAUCCUUAUUUGAUCUCAAAUUAUUGAUUCCCUUGCAAGUGAUACAGUACUCCUUGCACUCCAGUACUACCAUCCUCCCUUGAAGAUGCGUUUGUCUUGUGAGUCCCCAUUGCUUAGACAAAUAUGUCUUUCUCUCUAUUCUCGUAGUUCCGAACUAUGAUUGCUCUGACUUUCUCAUUGCCUAAUGAGAAUACGUAUGGAUGAAGAUACGGAUCCUUGGCGAGCAUACUUCUAAUUAUUCCUCCUUCGCCUUAGGCCAUCAUUCAUAUAUUUCACUAUUCAUUAUCUACCUUCGAUCAUAAAUCGUUCACUCAGUGACACACUGUCUUUUUGACCUCGAAAUACACUUUCCUUGGAAUUCUGUAUACAUCCUUUUAGGAUGCCUAACGAAUAGUCUGCUUUUAUACCUAGAGUUGUUUGGCCCUUAACCCAAACAUUUAAUUCCUUCUUUUUAGCUAACACCCUGUAGUGGUUAAAGCUAUUUCCCUCUAGGGUAAAAAUCUCAUUUCUCUUAUGGAUCCCAAUAUACUUUCACCUUUAGAUUUCAAACAAUACUUAUUCAGUCACUUGUUACCAAGUUCCCCAAUUAUGUGACUUCGGUCACUUCACUCCUUCCAUCUCCAUGAUGUAUUCAUUAUUCUACCUUCAUUCACUUCAUGUGAUAUACCUAUUCUCUGAGCCAACUACACGAUACCUUUGUGCUCCAUCUUGUAUCUCCUUGUGAACCAAAAGUUGUUUGGACCUUAACCCAAACACCUAAUUCAUUAUAUUUUUGGUCGUUCCAAUACAAUGAUACAGCGCUGUAGGCCCUCACUAGUUGGUUCAUACUUGUUUACUCUUGGGUUCAUCUUUCACCCUUGUUGGAGUUCAAACAACAUUAUUCUUUGGUUCAGACCAUAUUUCUAUCACACUUCUUUUCAUCUCCCACUUCUAGUUCUUCGAACUACGGAGCUCUGAAUUCGUCAUUGGACUAUGAGGAUACGUAGGCAUGAGGGCCCCAAUCCUCACCGAGCAUUUUAUCUAUUCUUUUUCUUCCCCAUUCUUUGCGAGUAAUCUUUAGUUAUCACCUAUUCGAGCGAGAACAAUCCAAACGGUUCCCAUGGAUGUUUGGGAUGCUAAUACUUUCCCCUUGCAUAACUGACUUCCUUACCUAGUAUAUCUCUUUCCCUGGGUUUUAUCGAUGUUUUCCUUUCCCUUUGGGGAUAAAUAAAGUUCGAUGGCGACUCUGUUGUAUGUUCAAGCAUGUGAUAUGUUCGGGUAUAUUUCCGCUAGCUUCAGUAAGUGUCAGCAAGAAUAGUAGGAACAAAAUUCUGAGUUAAAAAGAUGUGAAUAGCAGCCAGAUCCACAAAUUCUUCCAUGUUCGAAAACAGUAGGAUCCCAUAGAUAAGUAGAGCUAGAAUGGCAUUGAAAGUCGUCCAACUUUCAGCGUCUGUAAAGGUAGUAGCCUUAUCCAUGAGAAACUUUAAGGUAAAACCAUGAGUUCCACCCUUAGGGAGUUCCUUAGUGCAAACAUAAGGCACGCGGUUCUUAAUACCAAUACCCAGAAUAUGUGAAUACUCUUCCAAUGUGGGUGCCAACUGAUAAUCUUGGAAAGUAAAGCAUCUCAAUGGAGGGUCAUAGAAUUUCACCAGAGUGUGCACAACAAUUGUAUUGACUUCAAUGUUCAAGAUUCCUAGGAGGUUACCAUAAGACUUCUUGAAUUCAUCUCAGUUUCCAAGAAUUAGACGUGUCCCUAGUCCUCUCAAAACAAUCAACUAAGGCUCCACAAACUUGUAACUGUGAGUGCUUUUUCUCUCAGAAGUCAUGCUUCGUCUCAAAUGCUUAGUAAACAAAUUGAGCUCUUGGAUUCCUGGAAAAUAAAUGCCUAUGAAAAUAUAUUUAUCAUGAUGAAUGAUAAUACAUGAUGAAAUGAUAUAGAUCAUGCAGGUUCAAAACUCUGAUACAUUCUGAAUAAUCUGUAUACGCCAAUUGCUGUAAGUUCAAAAGUUCGACGCAAUAUGAGUGUCAAGGUAGGUAGAGUCUAUGUUUUCCUACAAAAAACCAUAUCCCCCUCACAGGUAUGGACUAUGCUCCAAGGUGGUCCCUAGAAGGUCUCCCAGAGUCAUCGACUCGAAAUGAAAAUACCCUGCCGUAAUGAAUGCUCACAGGACCAAAAUACUUCCAAGUGAAUUCAGUCUGGGUGUGGUUCUCGUGACAACCCAAUGCGCGAAACGCAGGUGUGCACGACUAUCCAUGAGUCUAUCCUAUAUGUAUACUAAGCUCGGGUAUAGAGCUUCAUUCAUAUAGUAUCAACCCCAUCCCAAUAAUAACAUAUAUAGAUAUCCAAUGUAAUAGAGAAUGCACAAAUGUAAGGAAGUAAAGUAAAUGAUGAAUAAUAUAAAGUGAGUAAGGCAUAAAGAUAAACAUCUAAAACUAGCGAGAAAACAACCUAAACUAGGCUCGACUCCUAUUAGAGACUAGGAAGUACUCCAAGCAACGAAGCAUCCACAACAGAGUCGCCAGCUAAAGCUGGAGGAAAUAUACCCGAACAUAUCGCAUGCUCGAACAUACAACAGAGUCACCAUCGAACUUUAUUUAUUCCCGAAGGAAAGGGAAAACAUCGAUAAAACCUGGGGUAAAAAGAUAUGUUGGGUAAGGAAGUCGAUUAUUCCAGGGGAAUGUGUCAUACCCCAAUUUUGUCCGGGCAUAUUUAAAUUUUUGUAAAAUCGAUUUCAUUUUUAAUUUGCAUCAUAUGCACGGCAUGACAUGCAUUCCAUCAUGAAUAAUACUUAAAAUAUCGGUCGGAAUAAAUUUAUUGAAAAUACAGACAAAUCAGUUAAAUCGUUUCUCAAUAACGUGCAAAAAUCAGCGGGUAAAAAGUUUCAAAAUUAAAAUUGAAGACGCCAGUAUCAUUAAUCUACGGUUCAUGCAGUUUAACCUGAUGUGCUUGUUAUAUUUUUCAGCGGCUGUUUUGGUUGCGUUUGGAACCGCCUGAGCCUUUUAACCGGUGCGAAUUUAUUUCAGAAUUUGAAGAAGCGCUGUAUUUUUUCAAUAAGUAUAUUUUAUGCUGAUCAUUUUAGUGCGUCUGAUUUAAUUUUUCGAGCAAAUUCACAUCCGACUUCUAUUUAUAAUCAAUCCUGUUAUUUCUUUGUUUUAAUGUCCAAAUAAGAGAUUUGUUUUAUUAUUAUCAUUUUCUAAAUUAAAUUACUGUCUAAGAAUUUUUAAUGAAUAUUUUUUUAAUAAUAGAAUUAUUAAUAAAUAAAAGGAAAAUUAAAUUAAAAGAAAACUAUUUUCCUCUUCUUCUAACACGUUACCUCACCAAAAUCUUCUAAUAAGAUUUCCUCUCCCUACACACUACAUUCUCCAACGUCUCACUCUCCUCACAGUACCUUCACUCUCUCUUACAAACAGUAACAAAAAGAAAUAAAUAGAAAGACCUCAGACCUCACUCAUGGAUUCAUUCACUACACGCCACCCACCAAAUUACCUCACGCUUCCCACAUGUCCCUCAUCUACACGCCACCUAUCACCUUGUCAUUCACGUUGACCAUACGUGACUCUCUCUCACCAAUACCCUUCAUUUAAGACACUCUCACAAAAUCACUCUUGGCUUUUCUGUCACCACUAGCUCACGAAAAAGGAAAAGGAAACAGAAACAAGAAAUUAAAAGCACUCCUCUUCUUCUUGAAAAAAGGCAUCCACCACACGCUCUCCUUCCCCUUCUAAUGGCCGCCGGCCAUCCAUAACAAAUGACAUUCGUCCGCAUCUCCGUUCUUUUUUAACCACAAUACAACCUCCACUGCGUUUUCCUCCAUAAACCGUUGACCGUGAGGCCACAGCUUCCACUCACCCAUCAUCUUCCUCCGCCUCACAACAACCUCACGAAGCACCCUUUAACACCACACAAAACUCCCUUUUCAACCGCCGUGAAUCGCCACCACUACCACUAUGUCGUCGCAUCAUCGCUUAACCACCGUCAAUUUUGAACCAUCCGCCGUCUUCCUCAUCUAUUCCGGCGAUAAAUUCCAAACCUCACCGCCGCGUCAAUAACCAAACUCCUUCACACUCAGGCGAAUCCACAUCUAUUCACCGACAUCGCUGCCGCCAUGGUUCGCUCUUCUAAAUUCACCACAACCAACCGCGACGCAAAUUCUCUCUUCCCCAACUGGCGAAACCAAGCAAUAAACCUUCCAACUCCGCAGCGACAAUAAACGACAGCAGUGACACCGCUUCGGUAAUAUCAAUUUCGUAUGCUUGUGGUGUUGUGAUUUUGAGAUUAACUCUGUUAUUACAUUAAAUUUUUAUUGAUUUCUGUUAUGUCAUAAACUGUUGCAAGUAUUAUAGAGUGUGGAAUUUUUGAGAUUGAUUCUAUUAGGUAGCGUUUUUUGAAUAUGACUAUGGCCUCAUUGUUUUCUACUGGUUUCCUAUUGUGUUCUAGUUUGUAAAUUGUCUUACCAAGGUGUUGUUGUAACCAACUUUAGAAGGCUUUUGUUAAUAUGAUAAUUUGAAUUGCUACUUGCAUUUGUCAUGUCCAGUUGGUUUUCUGUUUGGAGAAGUGGUUCUUAUGGGCAAGGCUUUUGUUUAUUGUUAUAUCCAAUAUUUUUUAAUGUUAUUCUCUUUACGUUCCACUAAUCGCAUCAUGUUGAUUUCAUAGACAUAUUAAACUUCAUAUUGAGUUGUAUUGAAGCAGUUUGGAAUUGAUUGCAAUGAAUUUGUUACAUGUUUAAUGCUAUUAUUUUCUUGCUGCGGGAUUAAAGUGGUUUAGCGUUACGGUAAUAGUUUGUGUUGCGUUUUCCUUGAUAUUACGUUGUUUGUUAUAGCCACUGUUUUGAUUUAGAUUUGGUUACAUUAAUCUAUGUUGAUUGUUGGUAUUAAAAUGUCGUAAUGUUCUUUUCCGGGGUAUUUUUGAUGUGAUUGUGUUGUUGUUGUUGCGUGUUGAAGUUGUUGCGUGUAAAAUCAAAUAUCAUUCGCAGCUUUAAUGCGUAAAAUGUUUCGAUUAUAUUUCUGUUUCAAUUACAUACUUACUUCAUUUCCAAUUCGGUUAUACUGUUUUGGGAAUUCGAUAUUGGUAUUGUAAUGUUGAAGAUAUUGUGUUACCGUAUUGUUGAUUGUGUAUCAGUUUGCGUAUUCGUAUUUGUUUCACUUACAGCUUUACGAACUCUUAAGUUGUUAUUGGUUAUGUCGUCCGUCUACUGGGAUUUAGUAUUCAAAAUGGGUGUAUAUGCGAUUGGUAGUACAUUUUGGGUGGCAAUUUGAUUUGAAGCUUUUGUUUUACUAUAUGUAUUUCACUUUGUGCUUCAAUUCAUGUGGUAUUUUAUCCUUAAGAGAGAAGCUUGUUUUCUUAUUAAAUAUUUCUAAACAUAUGCGUGAGAAUGGCAGGGAAAUGUUGUGUUCUAAAUAUUUAUUUAUUUUUGUUUCUAGUUAUGAAAGUGGGUGUUAGGUGUUAAUGGAUAUAUGGUGACUUAUUCGAAUUUUGACCAAACGUUAGAUUUUUUUAGAAUUAGUGUCCCCUAUCUUGAUUGCAUGAUUACUUCUAUUUUAUUUAUUUCAUUCAUUCAAUCUGGUAUUCAGAAAUAGUAUUUUGGACUACUUGGUAUUUGUCUACAAGUCCAUUACCAUGAACACCCACUUUUCGGUGUGUUAAAUUUUCUGUAUGAAUUGGGUCUUUAAAUCAAUAUUAACACAUAUUUUCAUUCUU
rnacentral:lncRNA from 1 species